rnacentral:rRNA from 1 species
GCAGUCGAGCGGUUUAUUUAGCUUGCUAGAUAGAUAGCGGCGAACGGGUGAGUAAUACCUAGGAAUCUGCCUGAUAGUGGGGGACAACGUGUGGAAACGCACGCUAAUACCGCAUACGUCCUACGGGAGAAAGGGGGCUUUUCGGAGCUCUCGCUAACAGAUGAGCCUAGGUCAGAUUAGCUAGUUGGUAGGGUAAAGGCCUACCAAGGCGACGAUCUGUAGCGGGUCUGAGAGGAUGAUCCGCCACACUGGAACUGAGACACGGUCCAGACUCCUACGGGAGGCAGCAGUGGGGAAUAUUGGACAAUGGGCGAAAGCCUGAUCCAGCCAUGCCGCGUGUGUGAAGAAGGCCUUUUGGUUGUAAAGCACUUUAAGCGGGGAGGAGGGCACCACGGUUAAUACCCGUGACUGUCGGACGUUACCCGCAGAAUAAGCACCGGCUAACUCUGUGCCAGCAGCCGCGGUAAUACAGAGGGUGCGAGCGUUAAUCGGGAUUACUGGGCGUAAAGCGCGCGUAGGCGGCUUGUUAAGUCGGAUGUGAAAUCCCUGGGCUCAACCUAGGCAUUGCAUUCGAUACUGGCAAGCUAGAGUAUGGGAGAGGAAGGUAGAAUUCCAGGUGUAGCGGUGAAAUGCGUAGAGAUCUGGAGGAAUACCGAU